rnacentral:rRNA from 1 species
UACAGAGGGGGCAAGCGUUAUUCGGAAUUAUUGGGCGUAAAGGGCGCGUAGGCGGCUUGGCAAGUGGAUGGUGAAAUCCCUCGGCUUAACCGAGGAACUGCCGUCCAAAACUGCUUCGCUUGAGACCGGGAGAGGUGAGUGGAAUUCCCAGUGUAGCGGUGAAAUGCGUAGAUAUUGGGAGGAACACCAGUGGCGAAGGCGGCUCACUGGCCCGAUACUGACGCUGAGGCACGAAAGCGUGGGGAGCAAACAGG